GGGGAGGAGGGCUCAGGUAGGGCGCGGCGCGGUGCAUGCUGGGACCUGUAGUUCGGAGCGGCGGCGCGUUCGCCGCGCCCUAGGGCCGGUGAGCGACGGGGAAACUACAAGUCCCAGGGCGCCACGGGAAGGAGCGGGCAGGGCGCCGCCUGAGGGCGGGGGGUACGAACGGGAACCUGCCGGCGGUGCUGCCGGAGGGCGCUUCCUUAGCUGGGGAGAGGACUGCCGCGGGUGAAGGGGCUCCUCCGGCGGCGAGAGGGCGCGGGCCGGCGGCUGAGGAGGCGGAGGGCGAGGCGAGCCCGCGGGCGGAGCCGCGUUGUUCGUGCAGGUCCUUUGUGAGACGGUGUCAAUGGGAAAUUAGCAGUGAGCUGCAGACCGUCUGCCUCCAGCGUGGCCCUGGGGAGCUGCACUGCUGCUGAGAGGAGCCCAGGACUCUGCAGGCUGUGCUCCAAUUCCCUCACGCAGUGCUCCAGCAGCACUUGAAGCAAGAGAGAUACAGACAGGGCAACAGAGGCAGCGAGAGGAAGAAUUUACUCAGUGAAUGUUGACGUGUUCAGCUUAUGCGUGUUGUGUCAC
rnacentral:lncRNA from 1 species